rnacentral:rRNA from 1 species
UACGUAGGGGGCAAGCGUUGUCCGGAUUUAUUGGGCGUAAAGAGCGUGUAGGCGGCCUGGAAGGUCAGCUGUGAAAACUCGAGGCUCAACCUCGAGACGUCGGUUGAAACCACCUGGCUAGAGUCCGGAAGAGGAGAGUGGAAUUCCCGGUGUAGCGGUGAAAUGCGCAGAUAUCAGGAGGAACACCGGUGGCGAAGGCGGAUCUCUGGGCCAUUACUGACGCUGAGGAGCGAAAGCGUGGGGAGCGAACAGG